rnacentral:tRNA from 1 species
GCUAAUGUGGCUCAGUCGGUAGAGCAGUUGAUUCGUAAUCAACAGGCCGCGGGUUCAAGUCCCGCCAUUAGCUCCA